GUUUUCCCGCCUAAACUGACUUCCAGAAACCUGCCCGGGACCUAGCCUACUGCCUGCAGCCUGGAUUUGGGCUCCAGAGCUGGGCAGCCUAGAUCCCCGGUCAAGGUUUCCUGGCCACUACGGGUGAUCUCCAUGGAGCUCCAGAGAACCACUCAGCUUGUUUCAAAGCUGAGCUUCUCCUCUCUCUUCCAAGCCAACUUUCAAGUGUGAGGCUGGAAGGGAAAGGAUUCCGUUUUUGGGGAAAAGGUCUGGGAGAAUCCAUCAGCCUGCACAGUCAUGGAUUCCCCCCUCCUAGGACACACAACCAAGCAACAGGAAAUCCAUACGGGAACCGGUGUGAGCGCUGGAGAGCGCUCGUCGCCUUAGGGUGACGUCAUCAUGAGCGGACAGACGCCCGGAGCCCGGCGGCGGGAGGAGGUGCAAAUUUACUAGGGCACGUCUGUUUUUUGUGUCGCUUGAAAAGAAAAAAAUGUUGUACAACAAAGCAGGACUCAAGGUGCUUAACAGAUACAUAGCAUAAUAUAGUACAGAAAAUUAUGAAGUACAGAACAGCUUCUCAUAAAAUACAAAAGCAUGAAGAUACUAAAGGGACAUUAUGGGAAUGCUUGAGUAAACAGCGUUAGGCUGCCAGCAACUGAGAAGACAUCUUGGAGCAGGAAGAUACGGCCGGUGAUCAAUGGUCCGGGCACAGGAGCAAAAACAUGGCAUAAGCGAAAUCUCCCAUAGAGUGAAAACAAGCAACACAAGGCGGCAUUACUUUCCAUCCAAAACAUAAUCUGCAGUCGGCUCUGUUUAUCCACUGCAGCUGAUGAGAAGUGACCCAUCACUGGGAGUAUAAUAACAGAAAGAAAAGACAAAACGUAUUGUGAAGUGGCUGCAAUAUAAAAUGUCUAAAUGAAGAUUCCUGUUAUCGCGCGGCACAGCUGCAGGUUUACUCAGCAGAUAAAGGCUCAGAAGACAAGGCUGAUCACUCCUACUUCAUUACUGCCAACAUUACAGGCCGCUUUAGGAAAAGGAUUGGAUUUAAAAAAUAUAUAUACUGUACAUACGUUGGACGUUUUACAGUACAGCUACCGAUUAAAGGAAAAAGCAGGCAAUGUGAUGCAUUUGGGGAUUUUUAUCACCCCGUGCCUCUAUUUUACGCACCGUCUGGUGCAGCAGUAAUUAGCGACUCAAUAGGCUGUUCUGAUGUGUUUCCUGCGUUGCAUAGUAUGAGUUUCCCUGAUCUUCUGUACUGGGAAAACACCUGCCAUACUACAGAACUCCAGGGGACUCCGCAGCCAGACGGCUUUCACUUUGACUGUCCUUCACGAAUGAGGAAACGUUAUGACUGCGUCUUGCUUGUUAUUGCUUCUUCAGGUUUUUUUUGUGUGUGCUUUUUUUAAAUUGCAGGCUUACAGACUGACCUAAAUUAAACUGAACCUGUCAACUGCACAUAAAAGGACAUUUAAAGCAUGAAAGAAAAGGUUGUCUCGUUAGGUGAAUGUGCGCUAAGAACAAAAAGGAGAAUCUCUUGCAGGAGCUUGGGGUGAGCCACCCAGCCCACCUAAGAGAUGUCCUUAUACGUAUCACCUGCUGACGGGAGAGAGAGUCUUUGUGAGAUGAGCCAAUGUUCAUUAAGGACACAGCCUAUUAUUUAUUAGGAAUCAAUGCCAAUACUGAGGCAAGAGGCGCUUUGGGGCAGAGUUGGGUGGGUGUGCAGAUCGACAUCCAUGCUUUUCUGAGGAAUCUGGACAUACCUGGCCUGUUACUGAGGGAUGUUUCGCACCAGCACAGGCUGGGUGCAAGUCCCAAUACCAUUGGGGAUGGCUACGGAGAGAAAAACAGAGCACAGUGUGACUCUGACGGAGACCAUCUUAACGGAUAGGCAGACUGGGCAGCUGCCUAGGGCCGCACAAUCCUAGGGGCCUCCGAGCAGGGACGGGUGGUGGUCACACAAUCAGAGCGGCCUGGCAACAUUCUCUACCUGCCUCCCAGCCUGCUGCCAGACAGGGAAUGGCUUUAGCAAACUGAUUGGUGGAUGGGCAGAGCUAUCCACCAAUCAGAGUGCUGACAGCCAUUCACUGUACGAAAGCAUGUGGAGAGACGGCACAAAACCACAGGAGGGUUACACGACUGGGUGUGUAGGGGCCCCAGUGCAUUGCUUUGCCCAUAGCCUACAAUGCUGUUAAGACGGCCCUGACUCUGACGCAUGAAGACGCACAGAUAGUCACAUAAAUGGGUGGAUAGUCACAUUAGCAUAUCCUAGUGAGUAGGUUACUGCGGCUGGAUGCAAAAUCAGGCCCUUUGUGUUCCUCUUGGCAUCCGUAUAGUGUAAACUAUAAUUGUAUAUUUUAAAUAGGCCUAAAUAAACUGUGUAGCUUUAGCCUGUUGUACCUAAGUAUCCAUUUUAUUAAGUGGACUAUGUUUUGACACUACCGGCCUCAAACUUCCGGUUGCAUUUGGCGCAAUUUCUGCUGAUUUUGGAGGAGGAUGCACCAGGGAUUUGGGUAUUUAAUCACGGUAAGUCUCAUGUGUAAUGUAUCUUGGCAAAGGGCCUGAUUCAGAGAUUUAUGUAAAUACAAUAAUGACAUAAAUCUCUGAUGUUUAAUGAUCUGCGUAUGCGUAAGGAGCCGCAAUGCGCAAGUGCAGAUCAGGUCCUGCCCCAAAGCCCAUAGCAUGACUGACAUGAUGCUGGCAUUUGGCUGCAGCGAGGGGAGCGUCCCAAAAUAUGGGGGUGCAUCAGGCCUGAAUUCUGGGCGGCAUUGGCUCUAGCAGGGUGAUUUCGCCAGACACCCUGGGUAACCUGAGGGUUGCGCAGUUGUCCUAUGUUCAUGCAUUAGGUCUGAUGCUGCUUCUUCAGGUGCAGCAGCAGAUCAGGGAGGCCGGC